CUCCCUCUCUGCUAUAACUUUUCAUGUUCAACUUUAAUUAUUCGUCUUAUCUAAAUUUCUUUUUAAAAAAAUAAAAAACAUAAGUCACGCAUAAAAUACUACUCAUGUUUUACCAUCUAAUAACAAUUAGAAUACUAAUCAUAAAAAAAUUUAGAUAAAACAAAUGAUCAAAGUUUAGACACGGAAACUUAUAGCUGCGUUUAAA
rfam:Oryza meridionalis cultivar OR44 (W2112) chromosome 5, whole genome shotgun sequence.